rnacentral:lncRNA from 1 species
GUACAAUAAAUCAACAAAAGAGCGCUUCAAUAAAGCUAUUGGGCAGCAGCAAGGCCACUGUUAUUUUAUCUUUUUACAGUAUUUAAUUGGAAGGUUUUUCCUGAAACUUUAGCCAGCCUUCAAAUUACUAGAUUCCAUAUAAGAAGAGAUUGAUAAGAGAAAUUUUUUUCUUCCAGGAUUUUUUCCUUACAAGAGAGCAAGUUUUUGCAGAGGGAGAAUAAAGUUACAAGUGUCUAGCGUUUUGCUGAGGGAGAAUGAAAUUAGAUGCUGAAUGGAGCGGGUAGGAAAGGCUGGGAAAAUGCGAACUUGGCAGCGCCGCCAGGUCACUGCAGAGCCCCACUGUCCUCCGGCACCAGGUGUCCGCUGCAUUCAAACGAUACUAUUAUUCAUAGACGGAGCAGAGCAUUAAAACUCCCCCCAAAAAUCAUUUGCAACUGAAUAAAGAUAUAAUCCUGGAAAUAUAACUCUCCAUUAAGAGUCCCCAUUAGCAACACAAGAGCCUCAUUGUUAAGGAGUUAUGUAUAUUUAUCAAGUUAAAAAAAAACUUGUCUUAGUGCUUACAUGUUAAUAGAAAACUUUUAUAGCCCUGGUCUCAGAACUAGUUAUGCAUAAAAUGUAAAGCAUCUAUUAUGCUUUGGCAAACUCUUGAACGUUUGACAGUGAAUUGCUAAUACACGAACAGUCUCCGGCGAUGGACGGAUAACGUCUUCCUGGCUGGCGCGGGGCUGCUGCGGAGCGAGCGGGCCGCGAUGUGAGGCCUCCUAGCCUCCCGUUUAGUCCUGAGUCCUGUGAGGGACCCGGGGAUCUUCUCCAAGGGCCUCGCCACCUUCUUCCUGUCUGUUUCUGAAGCUGCUUCAGGGCAGGAGGUCCGUCCCUUCAGAAUCUACCUGGCAGGACACGGCUUUCCGCCCUCCUCUUCCUUUCAGUCUUAGUGCAGGGGGUUAGGUCGGGUCUUCCUGUGAAUGGGUGAAUUUGUGGUCGGGCGGGCAGCCCCGCCACAGAACCCCAGUGAGCCCUGGAAGGGACCAUGACCGCCAGGCAGAGCCCAGGGGCGGCCUCGCUCCCUCUCCCUUCCCCUCCGGAAGCCCCUAGGCUGCAUCGAGCUGACCCCAGCACAGGAAGGAAUGCAAGGGGUGACGCCUCCCCUCCCCAGAAGCAGGGGGAGCUGCAGACAAGGAGUGGUUUCCACAGCUCCUCCAGGACGGCCCCUUCUCUCACAGGCUCUCUGCACUUUUGGCACUAGAAUGUCAUAAGUAGCAAAGCCCUGUCAGGAUGUAAACGGUCCUGCUAUAGUCUGGGGCCCGCAUGGCGGCCGUGCUCAGGGCAGGCGUCUGGUGUUAAGUCUGGGGCUUGUGCUCUCUGUGGUGGGUUUCACCCCCUCACUGGAGCUUGUUGCCCCCACAGGCAGUGUGCCGGGCAUGGGCUGUCUCACCAGGAUCAUGCCUGUGUCCUUUUAAGGAAAAGAGCUGGGACAGAGAGGUGGACAGGAGGAGUCCUCCCAGGCCCAGGGAUCCCUGCCAGGAGGAGAGCAGCCUGUGUGGGGCCCGUCCCGGUCCAACACCCGCUUCCCAGCGCCUCUGCCAGGGCUCCCCUGACUCUGCUCUGCUCCUGCUUCCACAUCCCUCCACCCUGGGCUUUGCUUGUCCCCUGAGAUUCCUGUGAUCGAGUCCCACACCCGGUGUCCGAGAAUGUGACCUGUGAAUGUUGACAGAGCCACAGUGCGGUCACAAAUGUUAAGAAAACUGCUGAACAGAGCGGGGAAGGCCAUGAGGAGACGGUCCUCGUGCUUGUAUGCCUCGUCAUGAAAAACACUACAAAACCCGCAGCCUGGCACAAGCAGCACUCUGCAAGGAUGUCGGCCCAGCACGGCCUGGCCAGCCUCAGAUCA